AGAAAAAUGCUUGUCGAAGAUUUAUGGUCAUCCAUCAAACAGUGGUCAAGUUUUCAGUGAUGAUAUUGGCGACAUAGAUCGCAACAUUUUCGACGUGGGAUCAACCGGUUUUUUCGGUGUCCAGAAAUUAUGGUUACAAUCGAUAAGGAGGAGAAAAAGAAAUUCGGCUGAUAUAAAGAGCGGUCAUCAUUCUAGAAUUUUGAGUUCGUGGGAUAGGUUCGGAAUGAUUGGUACGAAUGUAUUCGUGGUUGCCGAAAAACAGUGAUAGGUACGAUGUUGAAAGUCGACUCGCGAAAAGGAAUGACCUAAAUCAAUCGUACUUUCAAGAUUUAUUUGAGGCUACGGGAGCUUCCCAUUAUCCUAGAAUUUUGGGAAAGUGAAAUGGAAUUGACGACUAGGAAUGUGUUUUGUAACCAUCAUCGGGGGAAAUUCUUGAAUAACAAACAAGUGAGCUAUAAAUUUGGAUUUUACGUGUGAAUACUAUUCCUAUCUAUUUUUCGAAUGGUGUGUAAUUUUGUACAGGUUUUCAGAAUUUGAAAUUUCGACGAUAUUUUGGGAAGCUGUGUUGAUUUGAAAUUCCUUAUCUUAUGGUCAUUAACGUACUGCAAAUUUUGGCGAAAACGUGUGAUGUUGAACCGGAUCUAGAUCCUAAUUUGUAGAUUCAUUCAUCGUGUACAAGGAAUAAAAUACUUCAGCGAUGUAUUUUAUCGUUCCUGAAUGCUACUUCUAAUACAGAUUUUUUGAAAAAAUAUAUGAUCGUUUUGAGUGCACAAAAGGAGCGACGUGGGACCGAAGAAUUUAGCAACCGGAUUCAUGCUUCAAUAUUGGGUGAGAGUUGAUUAAUUUAUUUAUUUAGACGCUGUUAAUUUGGAUUAUGAUCGAGAAGAAUUUUUUGAAGAAAUGUGGACACGGAUAAUGUGUAUUCGAAUCGAAGAAAAUGAAGAUUUCAAAUUUCACGACGUGAUACAGCUUGGGAUAAUGGUGACGGGUAACAAACGAAGGCUACAUGUGUUUUUGAAGUAUCCAGCGUUUAUUAUCCGUAGCUGUUAUUUCCUCACACAUUCGCCAAAUAUGGGACUUGAAUUGAGAAAUGAUG